rnacentral:lncRNA from 1 species
UCUUAAUUCAUAUUAAAGUGAUGAAAUUAAACAUUUUUUUUUGGUUUUUGUUAUGUUCAUAUUUAGAAUAGGAAUGUGAUUGUGUAAAUCCUAGGAAAUAUGAGAAAAUAUCUUAUAUCCCUAUUAGGACUAUAUUACCUAUUAAAUGUUGUAAUCUUAAAGAGAAAGUAUUCUUCCUAUUACUAUAAAUAAAGGCACAAUGAGGUGAAUUAAACACACCUCACAAUUAAAUUAAUCUGUCUUAUCUCUAAUAGUGGCUAGCCCCCUCUCUCUCUCUAAACCCUAGAUCGUUCAAUCAAAUAAGCCUACAACAGUUUUAAUCUUUUAAAACAUUCUAAAUAAUUACCUUAUGUUUUGAAAUUAGACAUUUUUUAGGUCAUCAAAAUAAAGUGAUGACGUCAUUAACGUUAAAUCAGGAUGUGAACAAAUAUUGAAACUUUCAAUCCCUAGUUUUGUUGGCGAAAAAGGAUAGAUUAUGGAUUCAAAGCUCCAUAAAUAACUUGAGAGUUAAAACCGACUUCAUCACUUGACGCUAAUAAUCUAACGUAGUUAAUUGAAAGAGAAACUUCUGUUUCGGUCCCUGGCUGACCACAAAUUUUUAGACUCAAAUUUAUUAAUUUGAAUAUUAUGAUUGAAGGACAAAAUAUUGAAUUGCAGUAUUAAUUAAGAAUUUUGAUAACAAAACUUAAUAAUUCCUCUCUAAAAUCAUGCAAAGUUUAAUACCAAAUAAGGAAUUUUAAUUUUUUUCUCAAAUUUAAAUUGUGUAAAAUUUGAUCACCUUUUUAAUUUUUUCUAAUAAAACGUUUAUUUUUAUUUUUAACUAUGAGUACGUUUUAAAUUUAAAAAGGGUACAUUUUAUAUAAAUAUGUUAGUACAUUACACAUAACAAAAGUGAAUAGAUUUAACAUAAAAAAGGUACAUUUUAUAUUAAAAAAUUAAUACAUUUUACAUAUCACAAAAUGAUACAUUUUACAUAUAAUAAAGUGGUACAUUAUUUUUUUAUUUUAUCAAAAAUGGAUACAUUAUAAAUAUAUGAAUGUGUACGUUAUAAAAUAUAUUAUGGAUACAAAUAAA